CAGCCUGUGCUUGUAUUUAACUGAUGCCGGGACAACAGAUUGCCCCUCAGAGGUGUCCAGUGCUGACAUGACAGGCCAUAGUAUUUUGUCCCGACUAUGUUCAAGAGACAUAAGCACAGCUCUGUGGAGCACCAGAGAGACCUUCCCAUUCAUGGACCUGCACACCCCAUGUCCCAUAAUGACAUGAAAACUUUCUUCAACUUGUCUCAGCUUGUACUCUCUGCAGGCCAUCUGAGACCGCCACCAGUCUUAAGGCAUUCAAAAAUAACUUACUUUGAAGUGGAGAUUCUUGAUGCCCAAAGCAAAAAGCAGAUCUGCGUAGUGGACAAGAUACCACCAUCAUCAACGCUUCUCGAUGUAAAACAUAAGUUUCACAAAGUAUGUCCCCAGUGGUCCCCAUCUCGGAUAGGCUUGCGACUAGAACGCAAUGGGCCCUAUUUGAAAGACUCUGUCAACAUAAAGGCCCUUGCAGCUUCUUCUAUCAUUACACUAUAUUUCACAGACAUGGGUCAGCAAGUCAGCUGGAUAACGGUUUUUCUAACCGAAUAUACUGGCCCUCUUCUAAUUUAUCUGCUCUUUUACCUUCGUCUCUCAAGUAUUUAUGAUGCAAAGGAGAGUGCAAGGAGUUUACGUCAUCCUGUAGUUCACUUGGCCUGCUUCUGUCAUUGUUUACACUAUAUCAGACACCUUCUGGAGACGCUGUUUGUGCAUAAGAUUUCGGAAGGGCACACACCCCUGAAAAAUAUGAUCAAGGGUUGUACUUUUUACUGGGGGUUCACGUCUUGGAUUGCUUACUACAUCAAUCACCCACAGUACACUCCUCCAUCAUUUGGGAAUAAGCAAGUUACUUUUGCUGCCCUUGUGUUUCUGAUGUGUGAAGCUGGGAACCAUUUUAUUAAUGUGGCUUUAGUUCAUCAAAAUCAAUCAGGCAAUAAAAGCUCUUUUCCAAGUCCAUCAAUCAACCCUUUCACAUGGCUGUUUAUAUUUGUUUCCUGUCCAAACUAUACAUAUGAGAUUGGCUCUUGGAUGAGCUUUACUGUGAUGACCCAGACACUGCCAGGGUGUAAUUUUCUGGCAGCAUUAGACCUAACCUCUGGAUGGUUUUAGGAUGGGCAGCUGCUUCCUCACACUGCAUGGACCAUCUCCCUGAAAUGAGCUGGCUGUUCUCCUCUGCUGGUCAAAUCAAGCUAUCAGUAGGUCCCAAUGGCCUGAAGCUCAGAAACACAAAUGAAAAAGAGAGAGAUGAAAAUGCAUGGGCUCCAAUCCAGCUGUCGUCAUGGACAAGACAACUGUUAGUUCAGCAGAGACCUGAUGAGUAUGUGCACCUAGAGAUGCAUCUGCAGACCCAUAUGAGUGCAGAUAACUGAUUCCACACAUUGAGCUCCCAACUAUUCAGAUUAUUUGUUGUCUAACCAAGUUCAACCAUGCAUAAGGUUUAUUCUUAGGUACUUAUAUAAACAGGAAAAAAUCACCUAGUAGCAAUGCUCACCAGUUGGAACUAGAUAAAUAUUAAGUCACAGCACCAGGGACUAAAGAAAUCUCAAGACAACACUAGCCCUUUUUGGAUUUGCCUUGAUCUGCAGACAUAUACUUGUAUUUAUUUAUUCCAUUUAUAUUCCACCCUUCCUCCCAAAAGAGCCCAGGCUUUCUUUAGUGGUUGGCAUGUAUAGGUGAGGGACAGAACCUGUUUCCACAAUCACAUGGCGAUUAGAUUGCCUGAAAGGGGCUGUUCUUCCUACUGGACUACUCAGAUGUGCCUGUAACUGAAGUGUGUUGCAAUUCCAGAUGCUUUUUAGCCUAUUCUAACUCAUCUGACUCAUAGACACGAUUCCAAAUGUACAUACUGUAUUGUGUAUACUGCCGCUUUCCAUAUGUUGGGAACAAUCCAGCAGAUAGAAAAGCCACCCAGAUGCUCCAGUCACACACAAGAAAUGUCUGCUGUGUCUUCUUUUUUUUUUUUUUUGGUAGAAGUGACUUCUUUGCCUUUUCUAACUACAGCAAGCUUUAAUUUAUUAUCCAUAAGAGCCCCAUGGAUCAAAAUUAUAUAGUCUCUGUUUUGACAAGGAAAGAAGUUGCAAUGAACUGGAAAUCCUAUACAACACCCACUUGAAUUCAAUAGUUUUAUAUUCACAGGCUGAGAGCUGCUGGCAAACAGGUUGGCUUUCGACAGAAUUCAUUGAGUUGAUGCAAAAACAGAUGGAUAAUCACUAUAGCAACUUAAUAACACACCAGGAAAAAAAACCCCAUUCAAACAGAUGCCAUGAUUGGGAUUCAUUUCCCAAAGACCUUGCUGUCAAUAGCUUAAGCAUUUUUCCCCUUCUAAUAAAAAUCCAUUAUGUGGUUGCAAUGCUAAUUUCAAGAAAUAUGCACAGUAGCAUGUGAGAGGGAAGUAUGCAUUUAGACCAGCCACUUAUAGCUUAUUGUAUUCUGCUGAUUACUUCUGCGAUGCCUUGUCUUGCAUUUCA